rnacentral:rRNA from 1 species
UACAGGGGUGGCAAGCGUUGUUCGGAAUUACUGGGCGUAAAGGGCGCGUAGGCGGUUCGAUAAGUCCCGUGUGAAAGCCCCCGGCUCAACUGGGGAACUGCACGGGAAACUGACGGACUUGAGUUCGGGAGAGGGAAGCGGAAUUCCGGGUGUAGCGGUGAGAUGCGUAGAUAUCCGGAGGAACACCGGUGGCGAAGGCGGCUUCCUGGACCGACACUGACGCUGAGGCGCGAAAGCGUGGGGAGCAAACAGG